AUUAGUUCGACAGCUAAUCUGGAUGAAGUGACUAAAUUGACGUGAGCAUAAGAGACCUGUGGCUUAUUCAAUCUCUUAAUUUGAGGUUUCAGUCAACACCGGCCGUCAACACCACUAAUUGAGAGGCUUGGGAAGUGUACUGAACCUGCUAUGCAGAGAAAUAUUUUCAGAUGGCAACACAGGCAGACCAUGAAGAGCCGGCUGAAUCAAACUCUGGAGAGAGAGCGUAGCAUGAGCUCAACAAAAAGCGAAUACUCUCUGUGCUACAGCGAGAGUUGGCAAAUUAAGUCUGGAAGAAGCCUUUAUACCCAGAUCAAAG